UAAACUCCCCUUAUAGUUUUUAAGAAAUAAAAUUAAAAAAAAUCAUGUAAUACUACAUCAGUGUUAUGUUAUUGUAUGACUUCAUCUUUUAUACAGUCGGGUUCGGGGUUUCGGGCGGCCAUAGCGAAUUUCAGCAAGAUUUUACCCCAGUGAAAAAGGCUUGUAAUCCACAGUGAUCAGCUAAGAUGUUGUUUCACUGGAUUAUUUAAUUGGGCAUAUAAUUGGAUAAUUCUGGAUCAGCUGAGAUAUUAUUUCACUGGAUUAUUUAAUGGAUAGACUUAUUUGGCAUAUAUUUGGAUAUCUCUGUCAUCAACAUGGAAGCCAUGUUUUGUUCCUAACCAUCUAUAAUCCAUUCUCUAUGAAGUUCAGACUGUCUGCUCUUCCUUUGGAAAUACACAGUUAGUCAACCAACAAAGAAACACACAAAACUUGAAGGAUUCUCUAGUGAGGGCUUAUGGAAAUGAUCUAUGUCUACUCUCAGAAUGGUGAAAGACUAUCAGAUUAUGCAAAGACUAACAGAAUAUCCUCUCUUGGAACACUGAAACAAGAAAAUCAAACAGGAGAUGGAUGGAGGAUUUAAGAAGCACAUAGAUAAAUAUGAUUUCCAACGAAUUUAACCAGUAUUAUCAUAGACUGUGGUUUACAGGAUGACAAAGUAACAGGAUUGUAUCAUUUUUACUGUCAGACACUGACUAUGGAUAAGAUGUACCCAUUUAUUAAACUGAGAUCUAGUCAAAUCAAGUACAAUUGUAUUGAAAAAAUGAUUUUCUGAUAGCAUGAACUCUUUAAAAAUUAAUUCUCACAGACCUCAAAGUAUCUGAAUGUGACUUUUAUUUUUACCAAUUUCUAUUGAAGACUGUUGUUAUGUAUGAGAAGUAUACAUUUAAACCUUUUAUUUUUCAUCUUAUUUCUAUAACCCCCUAGAAAUUACACAGAUAUUCAGAUGCUGGAUUUAAUAUUAUUAUUUAACUUUCCUGGAAUGGUAAAUAUAUUUUGUUUGUGUAUGUAUCAUUUUUUAAUUUUGAAUUUAAAAUUGGUCUCAAUAAGACCCCCAAUAAAGAUGCAAGUGUCCCAUAAUCUGUGGUUUAAUAAUAUCUUGAAUAUCUUUAUCAUAUCAUAUUCAUCAUACUAAUUACAUAUUGAAUGUUUGUAGGAAUACACUUUGUUGUUUAGGACACUGUCAAGGUCAAAGCAUAAGAUUAUUGAGAUGA